rnacentral:rRNA from 1 species
CAGCAGCCGCGGUAAUACGUAGGUGGCAAGCGUUGUCCGGAAUUAUUGGGCGUAAAGCGAGCGCAGGCGGUUAGAAAAGUCUGAAGUGAAAGGCAGUGGCUCAACCAUUGUAGGCUUUGGGAACUGUUUAACUUGAGUGCAGAAGGGGAGAGUGGAAUUCCAUGUGUAGCGGUGAAAUGCGUAGAUAUAUGGAGGAACACCGGUGGCGAAAGCGGCUCUCUGGUCUGUAACUGACGCUGAGGCUCGAAAGCGUGGGGAGCGAUCAGGAUUAGAUACCCCUGUAGUCCCUGUCUCUUAUACA